rnacentral:lncRNA from 1 species
CUGACCUCAGGUGAUCCACCCGCCUCGGCCUCCCAAAGUGCUGGGAUUACAGAUGUGAGCCACUGCGCCCAGCUGCCAUUCAAUGGACUAUUGUCCAUUUAUAAAAAGAAUGAAGAUCUCCAUGAGCAGAGCAGAUAUAAAUCUAAAAGACAUUAGGUCUUAUAAGGAGGAGAGAGACGGCAUCAGCCCACAGAAAGCAAGAGAGUGAACAGGGUGGGGAAACCACCUAUUCAGGUGGCAGCACAUGAAGAUGGCCGCAGCCCAGGUGGAUGAGAGUCCAUGGGGGAAGACUUCUUCCAAGUUGCUGGAGGAGAUGGCCACUAGUAGCCUUGAUUUUAUAUCAUCCCAGCACAAAGACACCAAAUGCAAGAGACAGCAUUUUCCACCAGCUCUAGCUGGAAAAUCCUUAGAGGAGGACUGUAGUUAUCAGCUCAACCAGGACAACUUGAUCGGAGAAGAGUGGUUAUCCAGAAAGGGAUGCUGAGCAGAUAAUCAACGUUCUCUGAAGUGGGUAUAAUGACUAUCUACAUGCAUAUGGGAAAGGGAGGCACAGAGAAAUGAAGUAACUUUUCCAAGAUCACACGGUUGGUUGGUGGGAGAGGUAAACCAAAAACCCAGGCCUCCUCACUCAGACCUCUGCUCUUGCCUGAAUAACCAUGUUAUUUCGCCACUUCAAAAUAAAAGUGAGACCUACCAGUUUUCAUAAACACUGUAAUGUCGUUCUGUUACAUUUAUUUCUUUGCCUUCUGUAUAUAUAUAUCAAUAGCCUCACAUUCAAAGAACCAAAUAAUUGUACCCAACUUAUUCACCUCAGUAUUUGUGAAUAACUCUGGCCUUAUAAAAAAGUCUAACGGUUUUCUGUUUUUGUUUUGCUCUUACACUUUAUGGGCAUUUUAUACCAGCAUUUUUAGGUGUUUUUAACAGGUGGAUCGUCAGAAAGAAUACAAAAGUUUGAAUAAACAUACAUUGGCAAGCAAUUAUUCCUCUCCCCUUAGUAUAUUCUGUUCCUUAAUUUUUUUUGUGAUGGGCAUAAUUAAAUGAUUUAUUGCAAAAAUUGCUUAUCUUUCUGUAAGCAGGCAAGUGCCUGGUUUGUUGGAAAGAGGACUUGACCAAGUGCUAACCAAUGUGGAUUUGCGAAUUAUCAAGUUUACAAAACCUUUUUAAAAACUGUUUUAAAAAAAUGCUUAGUUUUACAAAACCGUCUGGCUUUGUCAAUUUCUAGUUAGUUGUGUGGCUGCCAGCACACGGCUUAAACUCUGAACCUUAGUAGUAUCAUCACUUGCAAAACAGGAGUGGUUUUAUCACCUUAUUUUGAGCAUAGUGUAGGCUGAAAUCUUUUGUAAGCUACAAAAUGGCAUAUAAAUGUCAGUUUUACUGACAGAGCAGGAGCACCGUCAUCUCGGACAAACACCGCCAUUUUUAAGUUCCAGCUCCCUUUCUAGCCUCAUGAAUUUCAAGGAAAUCACUUCUCUUCUAAUUACAAGCAGAUAGAAAGAGCAGUCAGUAAAACACAGAUAAGACAGCUCAGGCAGAGUGAAGUAGGGGGAAAAUCUCUUGGCUAACUACCAAACCUCACCCUCAUACAAUGAGCCCCAGUGAAACAGUGGGCCUUAAUAAGCACAUUCCUUUCCCUUCAGGUGUACUAAGAUAGGGAAGCUAAAAGCAGACUUUUA